rnacentral:rRNA from 1 species
UAGGGAAUCUUCCGCAAUGGGCGAAAGCCUGACGGAGCAACGCCGCGUGAGUGAUGAAGGUCUUCGGAUCGUAAAACUCUGUUAUUAGGGAAGAACAAAUGUGUAAGUAACUAUGCACGUCUUGACGGUACCUAAUCAGAAAGCCACGGCUAACUACGUGCCAGCAGCCGCGGUAAUACGUAGGUGGCAAGCGUUAUCCGGAAUUAUUGGGCGUAAAGCGCGCGUAGGCGGUUUUUUAAGUCUGAUGUGAAAGACCACGGCUCAACCGUGGAAGGUCAUUGGAAACUGGAAAACUUGAGUGCAGAAGAGGAAAGUUGAAUUCCAUGUGUAGCGGUGAAAUGCACAGAGAUAUGGAGGAACACCAGUGUCGAAGGCGAUGUUCUGGUCUGUAACUGACGCUGAUGUGCGAAAGCGUGGGGAUCAAACAGU